CAUGGCUCGCGCUCACUGCCCCAAGUUUUAAUUUAGGGGCUCUCAGUCAGCACGAACGAUGGCGGCGUGCGUAAUACAUGCAAGUCGAGCGGACCGACAGAGGGGCUUGCUUUUCUUUGGUCAGCGGCGGGACGGGUGAGUAACACGUGGGCAACCUGCCCGCAAGACCGGGAUAACUCCGGGAAACCGGAGCUAAUACCGGAUAACACCGAAGACCGCAUGGUCUUCGGUUGAAAGGCGGCCUUUGGGCUGUCACUUGCGGAUGGGCCCGCGGCGCAUUAGCUAGUUGGUGAGGUAACGGCUCACCAAGGCGACGAUGCGUAGCCGGCCUGAGAGGGUGACCGGCCACACUGGGACUGAGACACGGCCCAGACUCCUACGGGAGGCAGCAGUAGGGAAUCUUCCGCAAUGGGCGAAAGCCUGACGGAGCGACGCCGCGUGAGCGAAGAAGGCCUUCGGGUCGUAAAGCUCUGUUGUGAGGGACGAAGGAGCGCCGUUCGAAGAGGGCGGCGCGGUGACGGUACCUCACGAGAAAGCCCCGGCUAACUACGUGCCAGCAGCCGCGGUAAUACGUAGGGGGCGAGCGUUGUCCGGAAUUAUUGGGCGUAAAGCGCGCGCAGGCGGUUUCUUAAGUCUGAUGUGAAAGCCCCCGGCUCAACCGGGGAGGGUCAUUGGAAACUGGGGGACUUGAGGGCAGGAGAGGAGAGCGGAAUUCCACGUGUAGCGGUGAAAUGCGUAGAGAUGUGGAGGAACACCAGUGGCGAAGGCGGCUCUCUGGCCUGUAACUGACGCUGAGGAGCGAAAGCGUGGGGAGCAAACAGGAUUAGAUACCCUGGUAGUCCACGCCGUAAACGAUGAGUGCUAAGUGUUAGGGGGGUUCACGCCCUUUAGUGCUGCAGCUAACGCGAUAAGCACUCCGCCUGGAUUCUCGACGG
rnacentral:rRNA from 1 species